AGAAAGUGGCAGAGUGUUAUGCAGCUGGCUUGAAACUAGCUUAUUGGGGUUCGAUUCCCUUCUUUCUC
rnacentral:tRNA from 1 species